rnacentral:pre_miRNA from 1 species
AAUAAAUACAGCGAUAUCCGUGCCCAACGUUUGACUGUCCGUCUUAUUUAAAAUAUUUGUGAAAAAUUUAAAAAAUAUUUAGUUACGCAUAAAGUACUAUUUAUGUUUUAUCAUCUAAUGGCAAUAAAAAUACUAAUCAUAAAUUUUUUUUAACUAAGAUGAACGGUCAAACAUUGAAUGUGAACAGU